GUGGGCAUAGCUCAGUGGUAGAGUGCACGUUUAGCACGCAUGAGGUCCUGGGUUCAAUUCCUAGUACCCCCA
rnacentral:tRNA from 1 species